rnacentral:rRNA from 1 species
UACGGGGGGGAGCAAGCGUUGUUCGGAUUUACUGGGCGUAAAGGGCGCGUAGGCGGCCAGUGCAAGUCAGUUGUGAAAUCUCCGAGCUUAACUCGGAAAGGUCAACUGAUACUGCUCGGCUAGAGUGCGGAAGGGGCAACUGGAAUUCUUGGUGUAGCGGUGAAAUGCGUAGAUAUCAAGAGGAACACCUGCGGCGAAGGCGGGUUGCUGGGCCGACACUGACGCUGAAGCGCGAAAGCCAGGGGAGCGAACGGG